rnacentral:rRNA from 1 species
AUUGAACGCUGGCGGCAGGCCUAACACAUGCAAGUCGAGCGGAUGAAGGGAACUUGCUCCUGGAUUCAGCUGCGGACGGGCGGGUAAUUCCUAGGUAUCUGCCUGGUAGUGGGGGCUAACGUCCGGAAACGGGAGCUAAUACCGCAUACGUCCAGAGGGAGAAAGUGGGGGAUCAUCGGACCUCACGCUAUCAGAUGAGCCUAGGUCGGAUUAGCUAGUUGGUGGGGUAAAGGCCUACCAAGGCGACGAUCCGUAGCUGGUCUGAGAGGAUGAUCAGUCACACUGGAACUGAGACACGGUCCAGACUCCUACGGGAGGCAGCAGUGGGGAAUAUUGGACAAUGGGCGAAAGCCUGAUCCAGCCAUGCCGCGUGUGUGAAGAAGGUCUUCGGAUUGUAAAGCACUUUUAGUUGGGAGGAAGGGCAGUAAGUUAAUACCUUGCUGUUUUGACGUUACCAAAAGAAUAAGCACCGGCUAACUUCGUG